GUGGUUGGCUUCUGCACAACAAAAUGGAGAAGACAGAAAAAGCCCACUGUCUGGUCCUCUUCUGUCCAAUCCAAGGCCACAUUAAUCCCAUGCUCCAAUUCUCCAAGCGUUUAGAGUACAAAGGACUCAGGGUCACAUUGAUCACUACCCGCUCUGUUCACAAGGCCACGCAUGAAGGAGGAGGAGAACAAUCUACAACAUCAUUCUCUUCCAUUGCAUUGGAGACCAUUUCUGAUGGCUUUGAUGGAGAAGGUGGGAGUGCCCAAGCAGAGAGCAUCCAGGCCUACAGGGACCGUGUUCGGGAAAUCGGCUCACAGACUUUGGCUGAGCUCAUUGACAAGCUCUCUGCCUCAGGCCACCCUGCGGAUUGUCUAGUUUAUGAUCCAGUUUUUCCUUGGGCUCUUGAUGUGGCCAAAAGGGUUGGGAUUGCUGCGGCUGCUUUCUUCACUGUAUCUUGUGCUGUUACCAACAUAUACUCACUUGUCCAUGAUGGGCUGCUCAAACUUCCUCUCAAUCCUGACUCUGAGAUUUUGCUGCCUGGAUUGCCACCUCUUCAACCUUCAGACACCCCAUCUUUCAUCUAUGUUCCUGAAUCUUACCCUGCUUUCCUUAAACUGUCUGUAGAUCUGUUCUCUAAUCUUUGCAAAGCUGAUUGGGUCUUCUGCAACACAUUUUAUGAGCUGGAACAAGAGGUAAACAAAAUUGACGAGGUGGUUUUCGGUUCCAAAUUAAUUCAUUCUCUUGAAAGUUAACGCGCAAAACACUGCUAGAGUCACCAAAUUUGUUCACCAAAUUAAUUAUCUGUCACUACAUGCAUCACUACCCUACAAAAUUAAUGGCUAUGACGAUCUUAUGAUUUAUGUGUGAAGUCUCCAAAUAUUAAUGACUUCUUUGACCAUAAUUAUGAUUCAACUUGCUGUUUUAUUUUUCUCUCCUUUUACGCAUAGGUGAUAGAAUAUUGGAUGACAAAGUUUUCGACAUUAAGGACGAUUGGACCAACCAUACCAUCUAUGUACCUGGAUAAGCGUCAUGAAGACAACAAGGAAUAUGGUCUCAGCCUCUUUAAGCUAAACAGUGAUGCCUGCAUGAAAUGGUUAAAUGCAAAGCCAAAAGGGUCUGUAGCAUACAUGUCGUUCGGCAGUAUUGCAGAACAGGGAGAAGAGCAAAUGAAGGAAUUGGGUUUGGGUUUGAAGAGAAGCAAACGCUAUUUCUUGUGGGUGGUGAGGACAUCAGAAUCAGUUAAGCUGCCAAAAGGGUUUGCAGAGGAGACAUCUGAGAAGGGUUUGGUGGUUUCAUGGUGCCCUCAAUUGGAAGUUUUGGCACAUGAGGCUGUAGGAUGCUUUGUCACACACUGUGGUUGGAACUCUACAUUGGAGGCCUUGAGUUUGGGAGUUCCAAUGGUGGCAGUGCCACAAUGGGCUGACCAGAGCACCAAUGCCAAGUUCAUCAUGGAUGUGUGGAAAAUAGGGCUUAAAGCUCAAGCUGAUGAGAAAGGGAUAGUGAGAGGAGAAGAAAUAGCAAAUUGUGUGAGAGAAAUAUUGGAUGGGGAGAGAGGGAAGGAGAUUCGAAAGAACGCUUCGAAUUGGAAAGCAUUGGCCAAGAGUGCAGUGGAUGAAGGUGGAAGUUCUGAUAAAAACAUUGAUGAGUUCAUUGCAAAACUGGUUCAGAAUUAGAACUAGCUAGGCAAAGCUGUGGUGUAUUUCUGAAAAAAAAUUCCUUGUACAAGUCCUCUUGUCAAAAAUGUUAUUAGGGACUGAUUAAUAAUUUCCAUGACUAAUCAUUUUUAAACGUCAGAAAUUCGUGUCUUCACUAUUUUGAUUUUAUGAAAUAUGAAAAGUAAAUUAUAAUGAAUACGAAAACUUUAUGAUUAGAAAAGUUUAGGGACCCACAAAGACUAAAUUAUGUGCAUAAUUUUCAAGGGGACAAUUGUGCUAUCAUACUUUGUUUCUCACCACACAUACGUGUUGUUAACAUAUCAACCCCAGCCCAUCCAAACCCAAGAUAAACAACCUAGCUCACCCCAUUUUGAGGAGUAAUCUCUACAAUAUUCUAGAAGCACCACAAGUGUAAACAACGAAGUGAUAAUAUCGGUUACCACUAAAAAUAUCUAGAAUAAAGGAUAUAUGUAGAUUAGUCUAGGAGAACAUAAAAGCCCAAGUUGAAGUGGAAAAGUACGUCAGCAGCAAAGCUUGGAGAUUUGUCUGGAAGAUAAACAAUUUUGUGACCAUAUUCCUUGUUCUCAAUCAAGAAGUGAAGACAGUGUCAAUAAGAAGAGUGAGCAAUAACCUAUAGAGUCCUUGUGAGAAGUGUGAGUUUAUCUCUAGAAGUGAGAAAGAGUGCUUGUAUGAGUUGGUCUUUUCUUUGAGAGUUGUCUUGUCGUAAUUUUUUAUGAGUCUAAUACAAGUCAAUUGUUUACUUAUUUUGUCUCUAAUAAAUCUAUAUUAGAGUUGCGUACUCUAAUUUUCUCAACACGUGUUUGGUUAUAUUGAGCAAAGUAAAACCAAUCAAUCAACUUGAAAGAAGGGCUCUCCCCUUUUUAGACUUAAUUUAGUUUCGUAAAAUUUAAAAGGACAAAAGGCUGGCUAGGCGAAGCACUGGUGUAUUUCUGAAAAAUUGCCUAGCUAUAGCACAAGUCCUCUGGUGGAAAAUAAAACUGAUAGGCUAUGUAAUGUAGUAGACUCAACUCAAAUUGUGUAAUUUGAUGCAUCUCUAUAAUUUAUUUGUGCUUUUUUUUGCAAUAGAAUGCAUGUUUUGUCCUUUGGGAGUUUGUCCAAAGUAUCAGCAAGAGGAAAAAAAGCCGAGACGUCUAUAAAAGUAAAUAAAAAUUUGAGCAAAGCAAUUUUUGUCAUGAUUCAUGUUAAGGAACACCCUCAUGACCUCAUUAGAUACAAGGCCUUAAGUUAAGAUCAACUUCGAAUAUAAUACAUGCAAUUUUGUUUUCUUCAUAUGGAUGUACACUAUUUUGAAUUAUGAAAUCUGAGAAUUUAACCUUAUGAUUAGAAAAGUUUAGGGACAUACGACAAGACAAAAUCAUGUGCAUGUAAUUUUCAAGGUGUUAGGUUAGGAUUCUUAGAAUUGACUUUUCUUACCAAAUGUACACUUUCAUGUAAUUCCUCUUAGCUAAUCUUUAGAAAUUAGGCCUUUGGUAUUUGCUACAAAGUUGAAGUAUAUUGAACAGCUUAUGAGGUUACAAACCCAAAGUAAUUUGUACAGUCAUUUGUAAUGAGCAUCAUUAGGAAAAUCAACAUAUGUAUCAAAACACUUUAUCUAGAUGACUUGUCAUAUAUGUAGGCCAAAUAUUUCCAACACGGGAUUUUUAAUGAAGGCAUGUGAUAACUCAUGGUAAAAGUUUCCCUUUCAAGUAUCUAAAUAUUUGGGAGCAUUUGAAAAAAAAAAAAACCUUCCUCAUCAAGUUUCAAUUUGGUAAUGAGCAAUACCCUUAUGACCACGUUCCAAGGCCAUAAGGUAAACUUCGAAUACAUGCAAUUUUGCAAAAUAUUUUCUUCGAUUCUUUCCCAUGCACUAUUCUGAAUUAUGAAAUAUGAAAAGCAAAUUAUAAUACGAAACUUUUCUAUUAAAAAAGUUUAGGGACGGACAAGACCAAAUCAUGUGCAUAAUUUUCAAGGGGACAAUUGUUCUAUCUUACUUUGUUUCACCACAAGUUCAGGAAGAUUGCUAGUCAAGCUUAAGCACGUUCAGAUAGUUACUUAUUUUGUUGACUUAAAAAAGAUAAUUACUUAUUUGGCAUACCGUCCCUUGGUUGGAGAUGCUCUAAGCCACUAAAACAAGUGGCCCACGCGAGAAAUUUAAAACCCACACAAAUGGACUCCAAUUUUGGCAUAUACCAAGGUUUUUGAUUGGGGACAGCGGCCUCUACUAAUCUAGCAAAUGUGGUUGGCUUCUUCACAACAAAAUGGAGAAGAGAGAAAAAGCUCACUGCCUGGUUUUGUUCUAUCCAAUCCAAGGCCACAUUAAUCCGAUGCUCCAAUUCUCCAAGCGUUUACAGCACAAAGGAGUCAAAGUUACAUUGGUCACUACCCAGUCUGUUCACAAGGCCAUGCAUGGAGAUGGAGGUGGAAAAUCACCAUCAUCAUUUUCUUCCAUUGCAUUGGAGACCAUUUCUGAUGGGUUUGAUGGAGAAGGUGGGAGUUCCCAAGCAGAGAGCAUCCAGGCCUACUGGGACCGUUUUCGGGAAAUCGGCUCACAGACUUUGGCUGAGCUCAUUGACAAGCUCUCUGCCUCAGGCCACCCUGCUGAUUGUUUAGUUUAUGAUCAAAUUUUGCCUUGGGCUCUUGAUGUGGCCAAAAGGGUUGGGAUUGCUGGGGCCGCUUUCUUCACUGUAUCUUGUGCUGUUACCAACAUAUACUCUCUUGUCCAUAAUGGGCUGCUCAAACUUCCUCUCAAUCCUGACUCUGAGAUUUUGCUGCCUGGAUUGCCACCUCUUCAACCUUCAGACACCCCAUCUUUCGUCCAUGCUCCUGAAUCUUACCCUGCUUUCUUUAAACUGUCUAUGGAGCAGUUCUCUAAUCUUGACAAAGCUGAUUGGGUCUUCUACAGCACAUUUUAUGAGCUGGAACAAGAGGUAAUCAAAAUUCAUGGCAUGGUUUUCGGUUCCAAAUUAAUUCAUUCUCUUGAAAGUUAACGCGCAAAACACUGCUAGAGUCACCAAAUUUGUUCACCAAAUUAAUUAUCUGUCACUACAUGCAUCACUACCCUACAAAAUUAAUGGCUAUGACGAUCUUAUGAUUUAUGUGUGAAGUCUCCAAAUAUUAAUGACUUCUUUGACCAUAAUUAUGAUUCAACUUGCUGUUUUAUUUUUCUCUCCUUUUACGCAUAGGUGAUAGAAUAUUGGAUGACAAAGUUUUCGACAUUAAGGACGAUUGGACCAACCAUACCAUCUAUGUACCUGGAUAAGCGUCAUGAAGACAACAAGGAAUAUGGUCUCAGCCUCUUUAAGCUAAACAGUGAUGCCUGCAUGAAAUGGUUAAAUGCAAAGCCAAAAGGGUCUGUAGCAUACAUGUCGUUCGGCAGUAUUGCAGAACAGGGAGAAGAGCAAAUGAAGGAAUUGGGUUUGGGUUUGAAGAGAAGCAAACGCUAUUUCUUGUGGGUGGUGAGGACAUCAGAAUCAGUUAAGCUGCCAAAAGGGUUUGCAGAGGAGACAUCUGAGAAGGGUUUGGUGGUUUCAUGGUGCCCUCAAUUGGAAGUUUUGGCACAUGAGGCUGUAGGAUGCUUUGUCACACACUGUGGUUGGAACUCUACAUUGGAGGCCUUGAGUUUGGGAGUUCCAAUGGUGGCAGUGCCACAAUGGGCUGACCAGAGCACCAAUGCCAAGUUCAUCAUGGAUGUGUGGAAAAUAGGGCUUAAAGCUCAAGCUGAUGAGAAAGGGAUAGUGAGAGGAGAAGAAAUAGCAAAUUGUGUGAGAGAAAUAUUGGAUGGGGAGAGAGGGAAGGAGAUUCGAAAGAACGCUUCGAAUUGGAAAGCAUUGGCCAAGAGUGCAGUGGAUGAAGGUGGAAGUUCUGAUAAAAACAUUGAUGAGUUCAUUGCAAAACUGGUUCAGAAUUAGAACUAGCUAGGCAAAGCUGUGGUGUAUUUCUGAAAAAAAUUCCUUGUCCAAGUCCUCUUGUGGAAAAUGUUGUUAGGG
rnacentral:lncRNA from 1 species